CUCGCACAUUAUUUUAUAGUACAAAGAAACUAACGUCAUAUUUUGACUGAUGAACACCCUUGCUUGCUGCAGCUUCUUCUCAAGGUUUCGCCUUCAAUACUUAGGCUUGACAUUAAGACGAGAAGCAAGCUUCUGACCCAGAGACCUGUCAGCCUGUACCCAUCCCAACAAUCCAAACACAAAAUGCAUUAAUAUUACCUACAUGUUAAAUGGCUCUACUCCAUCUGCAUUUAAUGGUUGGUGUGACACAAGGACUAUAAACCUACGAGUGUAAUAUCAUAACUGCGGAUGAUUAAGAUGCCAAAUCAAGAUUUAAAGUAUGAAAUGACUUAUGGUUGUGCAGCAUAUACAAGUUUUGUACAGUAGAAAAUUAAUCAGUAUCUACACAGAAGGAUUGGAGUUCCACCUGAGACCAAUAUGAAAUCCAGAUACUGCGGAUCUCAUAGGUGACCCUUGGAUCAGACAAGGUCUCAACCCAUCUGUUGAUGAAACGCUCUUGCCUAAAAGGAAGAUAAAAAUAAGAAACAAAACAAAUUGCAUUAAAGGAGAACUAGUUAAAAAGAUGCUCCGUCGUAAAAUUCAAGUAAAUUUGAAAACCAAGGAUAUACCUGUCCGGUGCAAAUGAACGGUAUCUCUCACCAGGCUGCUUGAAAUUGUUCUCCUUCUCAAUGACGACCUGUGAUGUUGAAAACAAAUAUUAGCACAUGGCCAUCAUCAUAAUAAAUUUAACUAGUUCAUAAGCACAAGUUAAACUGCUCCAAUCAUCUAAAGAACAAAAAGAUCCAGACACCACUGGUUCAGAGACUGAACAUUUAGAAUGAAAAGAAACCAGCAUUUGAAUCAAUUUGGUCCAAGAAAAAUCAUGACCAUUCAGGCAAACUGGUAGGAUACUGCAACUCAAUUGGAAUCCAAGUGGACCCCUUUUCUAGUUCAACUUCUAAGCCAGCUUCAAAUAUGGAAGAUAAUGCAGAAAAAGCAAACCUUCUCACGCUUGCCAUGGCAAAUAGUAGAAGGAAUAGGGAAUGUCUCCGCAUGACGAACAGGAUCAAACCUUGAAGGGAAGUAGUCGACCUAAGAAACACCAUUCAUCAGAAAAAUAACCCACAGGCAACAUAAAAUAGUCCGCCACCUUCCGAGAGAGAAAGAGAGAGAGAGAGAGAGAGAGAGAGAGAGAGAGAGAGAGAACCUCCUCAUCCCUGUGCAUGAAAUUCAUGGAACCGUCAUGGUGAUUGUUGUGAAAAGCACACUUGGGUGCAUUUACUGGAAGCUGCAGAUAGUUCGGUCCAAGGCGGUGCCUCUGAGUAUCAGAAUAGGCAAAGAUUCUACCUUGGAGCAUUUUAUCAUUUGUGUAAUAUAUACCAGGUACAACAAGAGCUGGGUUGAAGGCAAGCAUCUCAUUCUCAGCAAAGAAAUUAUCUAUGUUCUUGUUUAAUACCAACCGGCCCACUGGCUGCAAGGGCAAGAUAUCCUCAGGCCAAGUCUUGGUAACAUCAAGUGGAUCAAAGUCAAACUUGUCUUCAUGUUCAGGAUCCAUCGUCUGGAUGAAAAGCUUCCACUCAGGAUAGUUUCCAGCCUUGAUCGAGUCAUAGAGAUCCUGAGUAGCAUGACUGUGGUUAGUUCCUCCAACUCUUAUGGCUUCAUCCUCCAACAAACACUUGACUCCACACGUGGGUUUCCAGUGGAACUUCACAUAAUUUGCCUUCCCAGCCUUGUUGAUUAGAGUGAAGGUGUGAACACCAAAGCCUUCCAUGUGCCUAUAGUCCUGUGGGACACCCACAUCAUCGAAGAGGAAGGCAAAUGUGCUCAAGCUUUCUGGAUGGUAGGACAAGAAGUCAACAACUCUCCAAUACUCCUGGAUAUGGGACUUCGGAUUGGGUUUGAAAGCAUGGAUCACAUCAGGGAACUUCAUUGCAUCACGAAUAAAGAAGACUGGGAAAUUGUUUCCCACCAUAUCAAAAUUGCCCUGAUGCCAACAAGGUUUAAGAUUGAGCAAAUUAGUAAGUUAUUUCCUUUCAAAUGCAUCAAAUAAUUAACUACUCAGAUUUUUAUGAUGGAAACCUCAGUAAGAAAUACACAAUUCCAUCUUUCAAAUAACUCAAACAAAAGAAGAAUAGAUUCCAUGCAUACAGUUUGCCUAUAUGAAAAUACACACAAAGUUCAGUCUCUACCAGUCCAUAGUGACAUGCAUCAAUUAGAGUAUCUUCUCUCUCCCUCUAUCUUUGAGAAAACACACAACCAACAUGUACAAAGAGUACAACUAAGAUAUCAUCAGACAACAUGGACAUUGGUUACAAAGUUCUUCAGCAACAGACAUGAGACCUGAGGACGCAUACUGUAAAAAUGCAGAAUGACAUGCCUUCCAAGCACACAUUUCCUUCAUGGAACCAUAACCACAAGAAUUUAAAAACAACAGUCUAAUGCAUAUAAAUUGGCAAAAAACACCCUGUUUAUAUAAAUAACCUCCAAAUAUAAAACCUUUUUCUGAGCAUUGAGGUUGCAAUUAUGUAACGGAAUGAGUUUUCAAGGACUCACUUAAAAAUUUAUGGAGUGAUUGGAAAAUGAAGCUCUUUUUGAGAAUUUGUAAAUGAAAAACUUGAAAAGCCAACUGGAAAGACUCCUUAAUGAGAGAAGAAUUACUUAUUAAGCUAGUUCAGUUACCUCUCUAGUAUAGAACUUCACAGCAAAACCUCGAGGGUCCCUUAUGGUCUCAGGGCUGCCACGCUCGUGGAUAACAGUGGAAAACCUAACAAUAACUGGAGUCUGCACUCCAGGGGCACGAAGAAAAUCAGCACAUGUGAGGUCAGAGACAUCGUGAGUGACCUCAAAAAACCCUUUAGCACUAGCUCCUCUAGCAUGGACC
rnacentral:lncRNA from 1 species